UUGCAGUGCCUUUGCUAGCUCAUCAAAAAAAAGGAGACACUUGAUCGUUCAUUCUUACAAAACAUACAAAUAUUUUUGAGUCAUUAAAAAGUGAAGGAGAUGGAUAUGAAGAUGAUAAAGAAGUGUGUUAGUAUGAUACUCAUGGUUUCCUUUUUUGUGGUUUUAACAACCACACUCAAACUGCCUCGGCUUGCGUUGGUAACAGGGAGCCGUGCAAUUUCUUUAAUCCUUGUUGCGGACAUUGUCGAUGCGAUUUUUUUCAAUCAUGGUUGUGCUUCCCCGGUCCUUUCAGCAAUCAAUUCAGUAAGGCUCUGUUUGGGAACACUAGCUGAUAUUCAGCUGAAUCUGAUAAGGAAUCAACUUGGGUUCAUAAUUCGACGUGGUGAAGACUCUCGUGAUGAAAUUAAUUCAUUUGUCAAGUGAAAGCUUUCACGACUUAAUUCAUUCGUGAUGAAGUUAUUUUCUUAUUUUAUUGUAUUAUACGAAGAGGUGAUUUGUUAAUUGAUACCAUCAGAAUUUUAAAAAAUAUAUAUAUGAUUAAAAGAACUAAAAUCAUACUCCCUCCAUAUAGAUAAAAAUGUUUUAUAUUGCAAAUGUUAACGUGCUGAUACCCCUUUGUCAUCUUGGACUUAUGGUCAUUGCUUUACCGCUUGAACUUCAAUAUAUUUGCGAUCAACAUGCCUUCCAAUCCUGGCUCUAGCAAAAACAAUAUUUUUAAAAAAUGACAUCUUUUUAUGGGAUCAUUGAUUUUUAUAAGUCGUAUAAAUUGGUAUUGCAAUUGUAGACGUGCUGAUACCCCUUGUCAUAGUGGUGGUAACUUCAACGCUUUUGCCUAACAUUCACCCGUGUUCGAAUCUUAACAAUAGGUUAGGAUUUUAUUUUUUAAAAAUCCCACGUUUCUUUCAAUUGAUGAACCAAAAUCAUUAUGAAUUUUAUUUGUUGUGUUCAAAAGUAAUUAUAGUUGAUCCUUUAAAAAAAAACAUAUUCUAUGUACUAUAAACCCUUCUCUGAAACUAAAAUCAUGUUAUAUGUAAAAAGUUGAUUGUUUUGAUCAUUUACACAAAAGAGAUUAUAUGUAAAACAAACCCCUCCUAAAAUUAACACCAUGUUAAUUGUAUUUGUUGUGUUCAAAACUAAAUAUUUUGUGGUCCUAUUAAAAAAAAUAGAUUUACGUAAAAUAUACCACUCCCAAAAGUUCGGAAAACUUUGAUCAAAAUAAAUAAUUGUUUAGAAAUCAUCUCAA